GGGUGUAGCUCAGUGGUAGAGCACAUGCUUAGCAUGCAUGAGGUCCUUGGUUCAGUCCCCAGUCCCUCCA
rnacentral:tRNA from 1 species